GUGUGUGUGUGUGUGUGUGUAUUUAGCAGUCUGUGUGUGUAUUCAGCAGUCUGCUAAAUACAGACAGACUGCUAAUUACACAGACAGACUG
rnacentral:miRNA from 1 species